AGUGAACGCUGGCGGUAGGCCUAACACAUGCAAGUCGAACGGCAGCACAGUAAGAGCUUGCUCUUACGGGUGGCGAGUGGCGGACGGGUGAGGAAUACAUCGGAAUCUACUUUUUCGUGGGGGAUAACGUAGGGAAACUUACGCUAAUACCGCAUACGACCUACGGGUGAAAGCAGGGGAUCUUCGGACCUUGCGCGAUUGAAUGAGCCGAUGUCGGAUUAGCUAGUUGGCGGGGUAAAGGCCCACCAAGGCGACGAUCCGUAGCUGGUCUGAGAGGAUGAUCAGCCACACUGGAACUGAGACACGGUCCAGACUCCUACGGGAGGCAGCAGUGGGGAAUAUUGGACAAUGGGCGCAAGCCUGAUCCAGCCAUACCGCGUGGGUGAAGAAGGCCUUCGGGUUGUAAAGCCCUCUUGUUGGGAAAGAAAAGCAGCAGGUUAAUACCCCGCUGUUCUGACGGUACCCAAAGAAUAAGCACCGGCUAACUUCG
rnacentral:rRNA from 1 species